rnacentral:rRNA from 1 species
GACGAACGCUGGCGGCGUGCUUAACACAUGCAAGUCGAACGGAAAGGCCCUGCUUUUGUGGGGUGCUCGAGUGGCGAACGGGUGAGUAACACGUGAGUAACCUGCCCUUGACUUUGGGAUAACUUCAGGAAACUGGGGCUAAUACCGGAUAGGAGCUCCUGCUGCAUGGUGGGGGUUGGAAAUUUCGGCGGUUGGGGAUGGGCUCGCGGCUUAUCAGCUUGUUGGUGGGGUAGUGGCAUACCAAGGCUUUGACGGGUAGCCGGCCUGAGAGGGUGACCGGCCACAUUGGGACUGAGAUACGGCCCAGACUCCUACGGGAGGCAGCAGUGGGGAAUAUUGCACAAUGGGCGGAAGCCUGAUGCAGCAACGCCGCGUGCGGGAUGACGGCCUUCGGGUUGUAAACCGCUUUCGCCUGUGACGAAGCGUGAGUGACGGUAAUGGGUAAAGAAGCACCGGCUAACUACGUG